GAAGGACGCGCGGCUACCUUGCUGCGGCCUCUAACGGCCCCCCGCGAGCGCCGCCUUUCCGAAGCGCGCUCGCGGCUGCGUGUUUGCUUUUCCCGAGGCCGCCUUUUCCGGCCGAAGUUUAGGGCCAAUCUGAAUAGCCCGUUUUCUCGCUUGACAGCCCCGCGAGCUGCGGGACUCAGACCCCCCAGGUCACACGGCCCCCUUUGCCCGCCCCGGCACGGCGCUUGCCUUCUAGACCCGGAGGCUGCACCGUGGGCUGCGCUAGCGCGUGAUCUGUGCUUUUCAAGAAAUGCAAGCAGCCGCAGCCCUGGUUAACUUUCAGCGAGAAGCCUUUAAGUCGCAUGUGUGAAUUCAAGCAUUUCUUGAAGAGCUGGACUUCUGGGAUCCCAUUUUCUGAACUCCGACGUACGGUGUAUUGAUAAAUAAAUUUUCUAGUGUGUGCUUCAAAAAUCUUAA